rnacentral:rRNA from 1 species
CCUACGGGGGGCAGCAGUGAGGAAUAUUGGUCAAUGGCCGGAAGGCUGAACCAGCCAUGCCGCGUGAAGGUCAGUGCCCUAUGGGCGUUAAACUUCUUUUGUGCGGGAGCAAUAAUGGACACGUGUGGCCAGACGAGAGUACCGUACGAAUAAGCAUCGGCUAACUCCGUGCCAGCAGCCGCGGUAAUACGGGGGAUGCAAGCGUUAUCCGGAUUUAUUGGGGUUAAAGGGUGCGUAGGCUGUGAGGUAAGUCAGCGGUGAAAUGCCCCCGCUCAACGGGGUGAAGUGCCAUUGAUACUGCCUUGCUGGAAUGCGGAUGCCGUGGGAGGAAUGUGUGGUGUAGCGGUGAAAUGCAUAGAUAUCACACAGAACACCGAUUGCGAAGGCAUCUCACGAAUCCGCGAUUGACGCUGAUGCACGAAAGCGUGGGUAUCAAACAGGAUUAGAUACCCGUGUAGUC